rnacentral:rRNA from 1 species
UACGUAGGGGGCUAGAGUUGUCCGGAUUUACUGGGUGUAAAGGGUGCGUAGGCGGCGCUGUAAGUGCUUUGUGAAAUCCCAUGGCUUAACCAUGGAAUUGCUCGGCAGACUGCAGCGCUUGAGGUCGGUAGGGGAGACUGGAAUUCCUGGUGUAGCGGUGAAAUGCGCAGAUAUCAGGAGGAACACCGGUGGCGAAGGCGGGUCUCUGGGCCGAUAUCGACGCUGAGGUGCGAAAGCGUGGGGAGCAAACAGG